rnacentral:rRNA from 1 species
UACGGAGGGUGCAAGCGUUAUCCGGAUUCACUGGGUUUAAAGGGUGCGUAGGUGGGCUUGUAAGUCAGUGGUGAAAUCUCCGGGCUUAACUCGGAAACUGCCAUUGAUACUAUAGGUCUUGAAUUUUUCUGGAGGUCAGCGGAAUAUGUCAUGUAGCGGUGAAAUGCUUAGAUAUGACAUAGAACACCAAUUGCGAAGGCAGCUGGCUACAGGGAUAUUGACACUGAGGCACGAAAGCGUGGGGAUCAAACAGG